rnacentral:lncRNA from 1 species
CUCCCUCCCCACUCCCCUCCCAUCCAUCCAUCCCUGCAGCAGCGACGAUCUAGGGCUCCUUCCCACCAUCAAUGCCAUAGGUUCGUAGUCCCUUGAACCCAAAAAAAACUGCUACGUCGAUGUUGUUACUGCAUAAAAUUUUUGUUACUGCAAAUUCAGGAUUUGUUUUACUGCAUAAAUAAUUUUGGCCCCCUCCCUACCACAAAUUCAGGCUUCGAUCUACUACAUAAAUUAGUUAGAUUCCAGAAAAAUUACUAUUUUAUGUUUUUGCUGAAAACCCCAGGAUUUCCUCCCUUUCGAGGUUUUGUGUUACUGCAUGGUAAUUAUGUUACUGUAAAAUUUCAUGCUUUCAUUGCUGAAAAAAUGAGGCAUUUCAGCGUUUUAUGAUACUACAUGAAUAGUCGGGUUACUGUAAAAAAAAUUAUGGUUUGUGUUACUAAAAAAAUCAGGAUCACCCCUUCCCAAUUGAGGCUUUGUGUUACUGCAUAAUGAUUAUGUUUUUAUUGUAAAAUUCAUGCUUUAUGUUGAUGCAAAAAAAUUCAGUACAUGGAUGAAGUGUUUGAAAAAGAAAAAGAACACACGAUAAGGUCAAUGAGGAAGAAGACGAAGAGGAUUUUUUGUACUUAAACUAGUUUGAUUUACUUUUUGUACUUGUUAUUCCAGACAUACACUUAUGAUGCUAUAAUGAUAAUACAAUGUUAUGCAGUUCUGCUAUAUUUUAUGCUCUGGUUGGUUUGUUGAUUGCAACAUUGUACAACUAAUGUGAUGUCUGUUACUGCAUAUAUACAUAUGUGUUACUGCAAAAAUGUACAUAUGUUAUUAUGUACUAUGGAAAAUUUUGGCAGAGUUCCUCCUACAGAUAUGGACAUCUAAAACAGACAAUUAGUGGUAAAAUAUACAAGGAUGUAUGAUUAAAAGAAUCACAAUGUUACCACUGUUACUGUAGAUAUACACAUGUGUUGCUGCAAACAUAUACGUAUGUUAUUGCAUAUUAUGAAAUCAAUUGAUGUCUGUUACUGCAUAUAUACAUGUGUGUUACUGUAGAAAUGUAAUAUGUUAUUGUGUACUAUGAAAAAUUUUGGCAGAGUUCCUCCUGCAGAUAUGGACAUCCAGGACAGGCAAUUAGUGAAAAAAUGUACAAGAAUGAAUGGAAAAAAAAUCACAAUGUUACCGCUGUUACUACAGAUAUACACAUGUGUUGCUGCGAACAUAUACAUAUGUUACUGCAUAUUGUGGAAGCAAUUGAUGUCUGUUACUGCAUAUAUACAUGUGUGUUACUGUAGAAAUGUAAUAUGUUAUUGUGUACUAUGAAAAAUUUUGGCAGAGUUCCUCCUACAGAUAUAGACAUCCAUGAUA